GCUCAGCGACUGAUGCACGGACUGCUGCAGAGGCUGCGGGUUUUUCCAACUUCUAGAGACGGCUUUGCUCAUUACCAGGCAUCCUUCCCAUGUAGGCAUCGAGAAGAAGGCUGAGGGACCCUCGCACCAGAUUUCCAUCCCGGAGACCGAUACGAGUGCGUCCAUUCCUGUUGCCAGCUCCUGCGCCCUCCGGACUAACCUCAAAAACCAGCUGGUUUGUAAAUAUUUGAAUCACAUUAUGGGAUUGCUAGACAGACUUUCAAUCUUGCUUGGCCUGAAGAAGAAGGAGGUUCAUGUUUUGUGCCUUGGGCUAGAUAAUAGUGGCAAAACAACGAUCAUUAACAAACUUAAACCUUCAAAUGCUCAAUCUCAAAAUAUCCUUCCAACAAUAGGAUUCAGCAUAGAGAAAUUCAAAUCAUCCAGUUUGUCAUUUACAGUGUUUGACAUGUCAGGUCAAGGAAGAUACAGAAAUCUCUGGGAACACUAUUAUAAAGAAGGCCAAGCUAUUAUUUUUGUCAUUGAUAGUAGUGAUAGAUUAAGAAUGGUUGUGGCCAAAGAAGAACUCGAUACUCUUCUGAAUCAUCCAGAUAUUAAACACCGUCGAAUUCCAAUCUUAUUCUUUGCAAAUAAAAUGGAUCUUAGAGAUGCAGUGACAUCUGUAAAAGUGUCUCAGUUGCUGUGUUUAGAGAACAUCAAAGAUAAACCCUGGCAUAUUUGAUGCUAAAACUGAAGACAGAAGAGUUCAAUGACCUAGCCAAGCUCCCUCAGCUAAUAAGAAAAUGAUUGAGAUCUACCGACUUUUUGUUUUAUUCUACCAGCUUACCAAACCCAUAAUUAUGGGUUUUUAUCCU
rnacentral:sRNA from 1 species